AGCAGAAUAAUUGUUACUACACGCAUUACCAGUGUAGCUAAGUCAUGCUGUUCUAACUCAGGUGAUCAGCUCUAUAAAAUGCUACCUCUGAAUGAUGUUGAUUCUCAAAGGUUGUUCUUUAAGAGAAUUUUCAACUCCGACUACUCAUGUCCUCCUCAACUACAAAAGGUUUCAGUCAGGAUCUUAAUAAAAUGUGGUGGUCUUCCAUUGGCUAUAAUUACCAUUGCAAGUUUGCUAGCCAAUAAACCUCAGAACGCAGAUGAAUGGGAGAGACUCCGAGAUUCCAUUGGUACUGGUCUUUCAUAUGAGAGUGAUGAUGACGGAAAAUGUAUGAGACAUAUAUUGUUACUUAGUUAUUGGGAUCUUCCACACCACUUGAAAACUUGUUUGUUGUACUUAUAUAUAUAUCCAGAGGACGAGUAUAUCUCGUGUGAACAACUAAAAUUGAAAUGGAUAGCCGAAGGAUUCAUU
rnacentral:rRNA from 1 species